GGACUGAGACACGGCCCAGACNCUACGGAGCAGCAGUGGGAAUAUGCACAAUGGGGGAAACCUGAUGCAGCGACGCCGCGUGAGGGAUGACGGCCUUCGGGUUGUAAACCUCUUUCAGUAGGGAAGAAGCCUUUCGAGGUGACGGUACCUGCAGAAGAAGUACCGGCUAACUACGUGCCAGCAGCCGCGGUAAUACGUAGGGUACAAGCGUUGUCCGGAAUUAUUGGGCGUAAAGAGCUCGUAGGCGGUCCGUCGCGUCUGCUGUGGAAACGCAAGGCUCAACCUUGCGCGUGCAGUGGGUACGGGCGGACUAGAGUGCAGUAGGGGAGUCUGGAAUUCCUGGUGUAGCGGUGAAAUGCGCAGAUAUCAGGAGGAACACCGGUGGCGAAGGCGGGACUCUGGGCUGUUACUGACGCUGAGGAGCGAAAGCAUGGGGAGCGAACAGGAUUAGAUACCCUGGUAGUCCAUGCCGUAAACGUUGGGCACUAGGUGUGGGGCUCAUUCCACGAGUUCCGCGCCGCAGCUAACGCAUUAAGUGCCCCGCCUGGGGAGUACGGCCGCAAGGCUAAAACUCAAAGGAAUUGACGGGGGCCCGCACAAGCGGCGGAGCAUGCGGAUUAAUUCGAUGCAACGCGAAGAACCUUACCAAGGCUUGACAUACACCGGAAUGUGCCAGAGAUGGUUCAGCCCUUUGGGCUGGUGUACAGGUGGUGCAUGGUUGUCGUCAGCUCGUGUCGUGAGAUGUUGGGUUAAGUCCCGCAACGAGCGCAACCCUCGUUCUAUGUUGCCAGCACGUGAUGGUGGGAACUCAUAGGAGACUGCCGGGGUCAACUCGGAGGAAGGUGGGGAUGACGUCAAAUCAUCAUGCCCUUUAUGUCUUGGGCUUCACGCAUGCUACAAUGGUCGGUACAAAGGGUUGCGAGACCGUGAGGUGGAGCGAAUCCCAGAAAGCCGAUCUCAGUUCGGAUCGUAGUCUGCAACUCGACUACGUGAAGUCGGAGUCGCUAGUAAUCGCAGAUCAGAACG
rnacentral:rRNA from 1 species